CCGGCAAGGGUGGAAAGGCGAGGUAAGAGCUCACCAGCGCCCGGGAGACCGGGCGGCUAUGUAAACCCUACCCGAAGCAACACCGCACAGGGGCAGUAACGGCGGCCCGCCGGUCCCGCUUAGGUGGCUGGAGCCCGGUGGCGACACCGGGCCAAGAUAGAUCGUUGUCAAAUACAGAACUCGGCUUACAGAACUGGUCGCACA
rnacentral:RNase_P_RNA from 1 species